UACGGAGGGUGCGAGCGUUAAUCGGAAUUACUGGGCGUAAAGCGUGCGCAGGCGGUUUGUUAAGCGAGAUGUGAAAGCCCCGGGCUCAACCUGGGAACCGCAUUUCGAACUGGCAAACUAGAGUCUUGUAGAGGGGGGUAGAAUUCCAGGUGUAGCGGUGAAAUGCGUAGAGAUCUGGAGGAAUACCGGUGGCGAAGGCGGCCACCUGGUCAGAAACUGACGCUGAGGUACGAAAGCGUGGGGAGCAAACAGG
rnacentral:rRNA from 1 species